GUGGGGAAUAUUGGACAAUGGGCGAAAGCCUGAUCCAGCCAUGCCGCGUGUGUGAAGAAGGUCUUCGGAUUGUAAAGCACUUUAAGUUGGGAGGAAGGGCAGUAAGUUAAUACCUUGCUGUUUUGACGUUACCGACAGAAUAAGCACCGGCUAACUUCGUGCCAGCAGCCGCGGUAAUACGAAGGGUGCAAGCGUUAAUCGGAAUUACUGGGCGUAAAGCGCGCGUAGGUGGUUUUGUAAGUUGGAGGUGAAAUCCCCGGGCUCAACCUGGGAACUGCCUCCAAAACUACUGAGCUAGAGUACGGUAGAGGGUAGUGGAAUUUCCUGUGUAGCGGUGAAAUGCGUAGAUAUAGGAAGGAACACCAGUGGCGAAGGCGACUACCUGGACUGAUACUGACACUGAGGUGCGAAAGCGUGGGGAGCAAACAGGAUUAGAUACCCGUGUAGUCC
rnacentral:rRNA from 1 species